UACGUAGGGUCCGAGCGUUGUCCGGAAUUACUGGGCGUAAAGAGCUCGUAGGUGGUUUGUCGCGUUGUUCGUGAAAACUCACAGCUUAACUGUGGGCGUGCGGGCGAUACGGGCAGACUGGAGUACUGCAGGGGAGACUGGAAUUCCUGGUGUAGCGGUGGAAUGCGCAGAUAUCAGGAGGAACACCGGUGGCGAAGGCGGUCUGCUGGGCCAAGACUGACGCUGAGGCGCGACAGCGUGGGGAGCAAACAGG
rnacentral:rRNA from 1 species